CAACAAGUAAUAUCUUGUUUUGGACUGAAUACUGGUGCAGUGCUCUACAUAACUAAAAUGCCUAAGGAUGCCAACAGUGAAUGGUGUCUGAGGUUGAAUCCUCGCAUAAUCCCACUUGUAUAACAAGCAGUUUCUUGAGUUGUGAAGGACGUGGCUGCAGUUCUUUUCCCGUUUCUGGAACCCAAGGACGGCUGCAGCGGAAUCUACUGUGACUGGAACUUGAUGCCAUCUGCUUGCGUAUUCUACAGCGCAUUACACUGACUAUCCUCUGUCUAUUUACUACACGACAAGUACUAU